CCUACGGGAGGCAGCAGUGAGGAAUAUUGGUCAAUGGACGCGAGUCUGAACCAGCCAAGUAGCGUGAAGGAUGACUGCCCUAUGGGUUGUAAACUUCUUUUAUAUGGGAAUAAAACGUUCCACGUGUGGGCUUUUGUAUGUACCAUAUGCAUAAGGAUCGGCUAACUCCGUGCCAGCAGCCGCGGUAAUACGGAGGAUCCGAGUGUUAUCCGGAUUUAUUGGGUUUAAAGGGAGCGCAGGUGGAUUGUUAAGUCAGUUGUGAAAGUUUGCGGCUCAACCGUAAAAUUGCAGUUGAAACUGGCAGUCUUGAGUACAGUAGAGGUGGGCGGAAUUCGUGGUGUAGCGGUGAAAUGCUUAGAUAUCACGAAGAACUCCGAUUGCGAAGGCAGCUCACUGGACAGCAACUGACACUGAGGCUCGAAAGUGUGGGUAUCAAACAGGAUUAGAUACCCGAGUAGUC
rnacentral:rRNA from 1 species